AGCCUUCUGUAUCCGUGCUGAGAUUUCGUCACACACUAGAACACGAGGGCUGAUGAAACUCCCUAGAUAGGUGACGUG
rnacentral:pre_miRNA from 1 species